UUCUGUAUCCUCAGAACAGGUUCAAAGUAGGAUUUCCUAAAACCUGGAAGAUGGAAAACAUGUUCGGAAGCAGAAAAGUGAAGGAACAUGGGUCAUCUUCUUAUCAGAAAGCAGACAACCACUUGAAUAUUCCUAAAAGGUCUCCAGAUCUUGCAGGAAAGCAAGAAGAUAGAGUUGAGGAUUGACAGGCAUACCUCAGACGCAACAUAGACAACGUUGUCCACUGUGCGCCAAUAUCUAGCAGGACGAAGGCCAUUUCGAUCCAGACAAGCGCCAACAGUUUUUCCAUCACUG